rnacentral:lncRNA from 1 species
GACGGGGGCCCCCUGACAGACCCGACUCAUCGGACCGCCAGGAGUCAUCCUCCGGUCUCCUGCGUGCCACAGCGAAACACCUAACCGCUACACCACAGACGCCAGUUCUCCUAUCUCAAGCCACUGAAACUACUGUACAUCAUCAUGAGCUACAAUACCUCAAAACUGAAAA